UCUGGAUUGUUUUCAGAUUUUGGUGAUUAUGAAUAAUACUAUAAUGAACAUUUUGUGUACAGGUUUUUGUGUGAAUACACACUUGAAAUUCACUUGGACAAAUACAUACAACUGAGAUUCCUGGGUCAUAUGAUAUUCAAGUUCUAUGAAGACAUUUUUUUUGCUGUUUUGUUUAGUGUUGUGAUUCCCCAAUACCUAGAACAGCACCAGAUUGACAUGUCAACUUUGUCAUAUAGUAAAAGACUUCUUGAUUUUUUGAGAAACUUCCAUACUGUUUUUGAGAGCAACUGCACCAGUUUGUAUUCCCGAUGAACUCUUG